rnacentral:rRNA from 1 species
UACGUAGGGGGGCUAGCGUUGUCCGGAAUCAUUGGGCGUAAAGAGCGCGUAGGCGGCCAGAUAAGUCCGGUGUGAAAGUCACAGGCUCAACCUGUGAAUGCCGCUGGAAACUGUCUGGCUAGAGUCCGGGAGGGGCGAGUGGAAUUCCUGGUGUAGCGGUGAAAUGCGCAGAUAUCAGGAGGAACACCAAUGGCGAAGGCAGCUCGCUGGAACGGUACUGACGCUGAGGCGCGAAAGCUAGGGGAGCAAACAGG